AAGCGGCAACAGCUCAAAUUUGAAAUCUGGCCCUCGGGUCCGAGUUGUAAUUUGUAGAGGAUGCUUUUGGUGCGGUACCUUCCGAGUUCCCUGGAACGGGACGCCAUAGAGGGUGAGAGCCCCGUCUGGUUGGAUACCAAUCCUCUGUAAAGCUCCUUCAACGAGUCGAGUAGUUUGGGAAUGCUGCUCUAAAUGGGAGGUAUAUGUCUUCUAAAGCUAAAUAUUGGCCAGAGACCGAUAGCGCACAAGUAGAGUGAUCGAAAGAUGAAAAGCACUUUGAAAAGAGAGUUAAAAAGUACGUGAAAUUGUUGAAAGGGAAGCGCUUAUGACCAGACUUGGACUUGGUUGAUCAUCCUGGGUUCUCCCUGGUGCACUCUUCCAGUUCAGGCCAGCAUCAGUUCAUCGCGGGGGAUAAAGGCUUCGGGAAUGUGGCUCCCUCGGGAGUGUUAUAACCCGUUGUGUAAUACCCUGCUUUGGACUGAGGUUCGCGCAUCUGCAAGGAUGCUGGCGUAAUGGUCAUCAGCGACCCGUCUUGAAACACGGACCAAGGAGUCGUCUUCGUAUGCGAGUGUUCGGGUGUUAAACCCCUACGCGUAAUGAAAGUGAACGCAGGUGAGAGCUUCGGCGCAUCAUCGACCGAUCCUGAUGUUCUCGGAUGGAUUUGAGUAAGAGCAUACGGGGCCGGACCCGAAAGAAGGUGAACUAUGCCUGUAUAGGGUGAAGCCAGAGGAAACUCUGGUGGAGGCUCGCAGCGGUUCUGACGUGCAAAUCGAUCGUCAAAUAUGGCAUGGGGGCGAAAGA
rnacentral:rRNA from 1 species